rnacentral:misc_RNA from 1 species
UUUUUUUUUUUUUUUUAGUGGGAUCUACUAUGAUGCUUAUUGAAGAUAUACUCGUAUCCUAAUUAGAUUGUUUUAUUGCAUCACUAGUAGUAGUAAAUGCUUAUGUAUAAUAGUAAGUACUUGUUUGUAAGUGCUUCAAAUUAAUGUGUAAGUUCGAAGGUGUAAGUUAAGUGUACUGGAAGUUAUCUAAGGCGUGCCUUAGGUGCCUUUGAGGCACAAGGUGAUAUAGAGGAAGGGGACAAUGCCUCUGAUCCACUAAGGUGAGCGAUCUCACUCAAGCUCACCCAAGCUAAUCCAGAUGCACCAGGGUGUCAGGCGAGCAUAGGCUUGCCCUAGAGAGCUUAGCCAUAAAUGCCCAGGUGCAUUUAAUCUGUUCAGUUUCAAACUAAACUAAAUUAUAAAACUAGAUUACUAAAAUUUUUAAAAGUGAAAAUUGAAUCGAAAUAAUCGAGGAACAGAUUCAAACUGAGCUGAACAUUCGGUUCAUCGAUUUUGUACUGAAGCCAAAGAUUGUGAUCUGUGCUUUCAGGAAAAAAAAAAUGAUGCCAUUUCUCUUUUCCCCUCCCCUGUUCUCAAUGUUUCAUUUAGGGGAGUGCAAUCGGUAAAAAUGAAAAUCGAAUUUCACUAAGAAUUGAAAUUGAACCAAACCGAAUAUAGAGGCAGAAUCGAAUCAAACUAAACAAAAAAAAAAAUUGGGUCUAUUCGGUUUAUUGGUCUGAGCUAUGCAAAAUCAAAAUAAGAAUUUCUUUCGAAGAAAAGCUAGAAAAUAAAAAAAUUAAGAAAAAAAUUUUGGGGACAUCUAAAGCAAUAAUCCAUAACAAAUUUCAAGGAAAAUUACAAAACAAAAUUCUUAAAAAAAGCAAAAAACCCAUAGCAACAACAAUCAUAAUAACAAUACAUCAAGAAAAAGUCAUAGCAACAAUAAUAAAUCCAUCCAAAGACCAAAGCAAAUAAUAAUCAAGAAAGAAAAGAUGAAGAAAAAAGGUACAGGACUCGAUGGAUCUGCAACGUCUAGGUCUCCAUGGAUCUGGGCAUCUAUGAUCUAAACUUCACUUUUCUUGUGUCUGGGUAUUUGAAUCCAUGCCUCCAUACAUCGACAACCCAACAACAGACAGGAAGAAGGCAUACAUGGCGUUGGCCACAAAUAUGCGAAACUGUAAAGAAAAGGAGCAAUGGGUCCUUGUCUACGAAGAAUUGACAAUUGAGGAGCCAAUAGCCGAGGAUGUUGUGCAAAGGUGCGAUGCCAGAGGGACAGAGAACGAGAUUGAGAGCACAAGAUCGAGAGUGAGGUUGAGAGGAAGAAGAAGAAGAAGAA